UGGCAGCUGCUGUAAAGAGAGAGAGAGGGAACAGGAGAGUAAGGCAGAUAGGGGAAGGGAGACAGAUGGAGAGGGAGGGAGAGAGAAGAGAGUGUACAUGGGGUGGCUAGAGGCCAGAGGAACCUCCUACUCUUCCACUGAGGAGAAACUAGAGGCAGGGAAAGAGAGGUGGCUAGAGGCCAGAGGAACCUCCUACUCUUCCACUGAGGAGAAACUAGAGGCAGGGAAAGAGAGGUGGCUAGAGGCCAGAGGAACCUCCUACUAUUCCACUGAGGAGAAACUAGAGGCAGGGAAAGAGAGAGAGCUAGAGGCCAGAGGAACCUCCUACCCUUCCACUGAGGAGAAACUAGAGGCAGGAAAAGAGAGGUGGCUCGAGGCCAGAGGAACCUCCUACUCUUCCACUGAGGAGAAAC
ensembl:lncRNA